AAUGGGUCAGCGACUUAUAUUCUGUAGCAAGGUUAACCGAAUAGGGGAGCCGAAGGGAAACCGAGUCUUAACUGGGCGUUAAGUUGCAGGGUAUAGACCCGAAACCCGGUGAUCUAGCCAUGGGCAGGUUGAAGGUUGGGUAACACUAACUGGAGGACCGAACCGACUAAUGUUGAAAAAUUAGCGGAUGACUUGUGGCUGGGGGUGAAAGGCCAAUCAAACCGGGAGAUAGCUGGUUCUCCCCGAAAGCUAUUUAGGUAGCGCCUCGUGAAUUCAUCUCCGGGGGUAGAGCACUGUUUCGGCAAGGGGGUCAUCCCGACUUACCAACCCGAUGCAAACUGCGAAUACCGGAGAAUGUUAUCACGGGAGACACACGGCGGGUGCUAACGUCCGUCGUGAAGAGGGAAACAACCCAGACCGCCAGCUAAGGUCCCAAAGUCAUGGUUAAGUGGGAAACGAUGUGGGAAGGCCCAGACAGCCAGGAUGUUGGCUUAGAAGCAGCCAUCAUUUAAAGAAAGCGUAAUAGCUCACUGGUCGAGUCGGCCUGCGCGGAAGAUGUAACGGGGCUAAACCAUGCACCGAAGCUGCGGCAGCGACGCUUAUGCGUUGUUGGGUAGGGGAGCGUUCUGUAAGCCUGUGAAGGUGUGCUGUGAGGCAUGCUGGAGGUAUCAGAAGUGCGAAUGCUGACAUAAGUAACGAUAAAGCGGGUGAAAAGCCCGCUCGCCGGAAGACCAAGGGUUCCUGUCCAACGUUAAUCGGGGCAGGGUGAGUCGACCCCUAAGGCGAGGCCGAAAGGCGUAGUCGAUGGGAAACAGGUUAAUAUUCCUGUACUUGGUGUUACUGCGAAGGGGGGACGGAGAAGGCUAUGUUGGCCGGGCGACGGUUGUCCCGGUUUAAGCGUGUAGGCUGGUUUUCCAGGCAAAUCCGGAAAAUCAAGGCUGAGGCGUGAUGACGAGGCACUACGGUGCUGAAGCAACAAAUGCCCUGCUUCCAGGAAAAGCCUCUAAGCAUCAGGUAACAUCAAAUCGUACCCCAAACCGACACAGGUGGUCAGGUAGAGAAUACCAAGGCGCUUGAGAGAACUCGGGUGAAGGAACUAGGCAAAAUGGUGCCGUAACUUCGGGAGAAGGCACGCUGAUAUGUAGGUGAAGUCCCUUGCGGAUGGAGCUGAAAUCAGUCGAAGAUACCAGCUGGCUGCAACUGUUUAUUAAAAACACAGCACUGUGCAAACACGAAAGUGGACGUAUACGGUGUGACGCCUGCCCGGUGCCGGAAGGUUAAUUGAUGGGGUCAGCGCAAGCGAAGCUCUUGAUCGAAGCCCCGGUAAACGGCGGCCGUAACUAUAACGGUCCUAAGGUAGCGAAAUUC
rnacentral:rRNA from 1 species